rnacentral:rRNA from 1 species
GACGAACGCUGGCGGCGUGCUUAACACAUGCAAGUCGAACGGAAAGGCCCUGCUUUUGUGGGGUGCUCGAGUGGCGAACGGGUGAGUAACACGUGAGUAACCUGCCCUUGACUUUGGGAUAACUUCAGGAAACUGGGGCUAAUACCGGAUAGGAGCUCCUGCUGCAUGGUGGGGGUUGGAAAGUUUCGGCGGUUGGGGAUGGACUCGCGGCUUAUCAGCUUGUUGGUGGGGUAGUGGCUUACCAAGGCUUUGACGGGUAGCCGGCCUGAGAGGGUGACCGGCCACAUUGGGACUGAGAUACGGCCCAGACUCGUACGGGAGGCAGAAGUGGGGAAUAUUGCAGAAUGGGCGGAAGCCUGAUGCAGCAACGCCGCGUGCGGGAUGACGGCCUUCGGGUUGUAAACCGCUUUCGCCGGUGACGAAGAGUGAGUGACGGUAAUGGGUAAAGAAGCACCGGCUAACUACGUG